UACACUCCUGCGGGAGGCAGCAGUGGGGAAUUUUGGACAAUGGGCGAAAGCCUGAUCCAGCAAUGCCGCGUGAGUGAAGAAGGCCUUCGGGUUGUAAAGCUCUUUUGUCAGGGAAGAAACGGUGAAAGCUAAUAUCUUUUGCUAAUGACGGUACCUGAAGAAUAAGCACCGGCUAACUACGUGCCAGCAGCCGCGGUAAUACGUAGGGUGCAAGCGUUAAUCGGAAUUACUGGGCGUAAAGCGUGCGCAGGCGGUUUUGUAAGUCUGAUGUGAAAUCCCCGGGCUCAACCUGGGAAUUGCAUUGGAGACUGCAAGGCUAGAAUCUGGCAGAGGGGGGUAGAAUUCCACGUGUAGCAGUGAAAUGCGUAGAUAUGUGGAGGAACACCGAUGGCGAAGGCAGCCCCCUGGGUCAAGAUUGACGCUCAUGCACGAAAGCGUGGGGAGCAAACAGGAUUAGAAACCCUUGUAGUCCCAUG
rnacentral:rRNA from 1 species